AGAGUUUGAUCCUGGCUCAGGACGAACGCUGGCGGCGUGCUUAACACAUGCAAGUCGAACGAUGAAGCAGAGCUUGCUCUGCCGAUUAGUGGCGAACGGGUGAGGAACACGUGAGAAACCUGCCCCAGACUCUGGGAUAACAAUUAGAAAUGAUUGCUAAUACCGGAUGACGUCGGAGAACCGCAUGGUUCACUGACGAAAGGAAAUCCGGUUUGGGAGGGUCUCGCGACCUAUCAGCUUGUUGGCGGGGUAAUGGCCCACCAAGGCGUCGACGGGUAGCUGGUCUGAGAGGAUGAUCAGCCACACUGGGACUGAGACACGGCCCAGACUCCUACGGGAGGCAGCAGUGGGGAAUCUUGCGCAAUGGGCGAAAGCCUGACGCAGCAACGCCGCGUGCGGGAUGAAGGCCUUCGGGCUGUAAACCGCUUUCAGCAGGAACGACAAUGACGGUACCUGCAGAAGAAGGAGCGGCCAACUACGUGCCAGCAGCCGCGGUGACACGUAGGCUCCAAGCGUAGUCCUGAUUUAUCGGGCGUAAAGAGCUCGUACGCGGUUUAGUAAGUCGGGUGUGGAAACUCUGGGCUUAGCCAGAGACGCCAUCCGAUACUGCUGUGACUUGAGUUCAGGACGGNAGCGGGGAAUUCCUAGCUGUAGCGGUGAAAUGCGCAGAUAUUACGACGAACACCCGGUGGCGAAAGGCGCCGCUCUGGGACUGCAAACUGACGCUGAUGGAGCGAAAGCAUGGGGAUGCAANAUGAUGACAUAUCCUGGUAGUCA
rnacentral:rRNA from 1 species